rnacentral:ncRNA from 1 species
CGUAGCCUAUAUAUCUGACCCUAUAUUCUAUUAUUCUUUUUUUUACAAUAGAUGUUCGUUUUAACAUUUAAAUGAUGAGACAUACCACUAUAGCAAUGUACUCGUUCCCAUGAAAAACUAAAUAUGUUCCUGAAAUGGGGUUAACUAUUAGACACAAAAAUGUUUAACUUUUUAUCGCCAAACUUAAAAAAAUUAAAAAGGAAAAAAAUUGAUUAAGAGGGACAGACGGGGGCAUUCGUACUGUGCCGUUAGAGGUGAAAUUCUUGAAUCGGCACAAGGCGAACGACUGCGAAAGCAUUUGCCAAGAAUGUUUUAUUUAAUCAAG